rnacentral:rRNA from 1 species
GAUGAACGCUGACAGAAUGCUUAACACAUGCAAGUCUACUUGAAUUUGGGUUUUUUAACUUAGAUUUGGGUGGCGGACGGGUGAGUAACGCGUAAAGAACUUGCCUCACAGUUAGGGACAACAUUUGGAAACGAAUGCUAAUACCUGAUAUUAUGAAUAUAUGGCAUCAUAUAAUUAUGAAAGCUAUAAGCGCUGUGAGAGAGCUUUGCGUCCCAUUAGCUAGUUGGAGAGGUAACGGCUCACCAAGGCGAUGAUGGGUAGCCGGCCUGAGAGGGUGAACGGCAACAAGGGGACUGAGACACGGUCCUUACUCCUACGGGAGGCAGCAGUGGGGAAUAUUGGACAAGGGACCAAGAGUCUGAUCCAGCAAUUCUGUGUGGACGAUGACGUUUUGCGGAAUGUAAAGUGCUUUCAGUUGAGAAGAAAAAAAUGACGGUACCAACAGAAGAAGUGACGGCUAAAUACGUG